rnacentral:rRNA from 1 species
ACCCAGACUCCUACGGGAGGCGGCAGUGGGGAAUAUUGCACAAUGGGGGAAACCCUGAUGCAGCGACGCCGCGUGAGCGAAGAAGUAUUUCGGUAUGUAAAGCUCUAUCAGCAGGGAAGAAAAAAAUGACGGUACCUGAGUAAGAAGCACCGGCUAAAUACGUGCCAGCAGCCGCGGUAAUACGUAUGGUGCAAGCGUUAUCCGGAUUUACUGGGUGUAAAGGGAGCGUAGGCGGCCAUUCAAGUCAGAAGUGGAAACCCGGGGCUCCACCCUGGGAGUGCUUUUGAAACUGUGCGGCUAGAGUGUCGGAGGGGUAAGUGGAAUUCCUAGUGUAGCGGUGAAAUGCGUAGAUAUUAGGCGGAACACCAGUGGCGAAGGCGGCUUACUGGACGAUGACUGACGCUGAGGCCCGAAAGCGUGGGGAGCAACCAGGAUUAGAUACCCUCGUAUA